GCACUGGUACUCGCCGCCAUAUUGAAGAUGGACGCUUGAGAUGUUGACGUAGCUUACUACGUCACCGUCUGGAUUGAGGAAGCUCCGGAAUUUGAUGUCAGAGUUUUCUUUGAGAUCCUGACCGUCAAGCUUCCAGGCGAUGGAUGGGGUAGGGUUGCCGGUCGCUAUACAACGGAUGGACGUUUUUUGUCCUCUCUGGACGUACUGAUCGAUGAAUGUCUCCACAAAGGUAGGAUGGGCCGCUACAAAAGAUUAUUGACGUUUAGAUGUAUACGGACAGUGCAUCAUGGAGAUUAUUAUGCGUUUACCUCCAAGUAGAAGCUGAGAGGUUCCCUGACUACUUGUCUCCUCGUUCUGUACAACACACUGGUACAUCCCCUGAUCCUUUUUAUUCACGCUGUGAAUUGUCAGCACCGAUUGGUCUUUGAUUGUUAUUUUUUGAUUAGGUGUAAUUUUGAAGCCAUCUUUUAACCAGAACACCGAUUUGAUUGGAUGACCUAACACCGUACAGUUGAAGACUGCUGAUUGGUUGGAAUCCACCUUCUGCUGCUGAGGGUCAAUGGUUGCCGAGAGAGAAUCUGAAAGGUGAAGACAUCAAAUUUUCAAACAGACUGGAGAAUGUGCUCUUCCUAAUCCUAUACCCUUAUUCCUAGCUUGUUUUGAAUUCACUUCAUUUGUAUCAUCUAUGUAGAUCCAUGUGCUACCAUCUUCAAAUAUCUCAUUCAGUGUUAUUUGGAAGUCUUCAUGUCGUCAAAACCACUCAUUAAUAUUGCAUUAACAGAGACAAUGCAGACCCUUUAUAUGAAUAUGCAUUUAAUAAGAAGAAUGACAAAGCGUCAUGAUUCCUUCAUGAUUAAAACAUAAUUUCAAUUUUGUAAUCCUCCCACAUAUCCAUCAAACAAAUCAUAUCAAAGCCAAGGAAAUGUGAUAUAGUUUUUUCAUAACAUGUAUUGCUAUGAUUAAUUUCAAGAAAAACACGUACAUUGUACUGUAAGAUCUGUGGUUCCGGUCGCUGAACCGUGACUGUUUGAGGAAUUGCACGUGUAAACACCGCUAUCUGUAACUUUCGCAUCAACAAUCAUGAGGUUUCCAGCCCGCUGAAUUUUGCUCACGCUGUCGAUGAUUAGUUCCUUGUUGUGGAGACUCCAUCGGUAUUUCGGAAGAGGGUUGCUACUGGCGACACAUGGUAGUUCCACCGUCUCUCCUUCGUUCACCGUCACGUGUGUCAUGACGUCAUCAAUUUUUGGAGGCGUCCAGCCAGUGGGGGGAUCUGAAGAAAUAGGUUUUUAAAAAAAUAAAGUGAUUGUAACGUAUACUCGUUGUAGCUUUGUAUUGAGCAAUGAAUGAAAAUGUGAUAUAUAGAUUUUAAAUGUUGUUAUACUCUCAUAAAGAUAAUAUGAAGUGUUUAUUGAAGCUACAAAUACCAAUCAGAUUCACGAAUCUAGAGCGCUGAAAUAUACCGAUUUACCGUGUACAUGUAGAUAGGCUGUCUUGCUGAACUUUUCGUCACCCGUCAGGAUAUUUCGCGCUACACACCUGUAUGGUGUGUACCGGUCCUCAUCCCUGAUGUCCCGGAUGUGAAGUUCCCCGUCAGAAAAGAUGCUCACACGAUCGCCUGGCAAUAUAAAAGACAAUUAAUUUCUGUCUUAUUUUGUAGAAAACUAAGGAAAGUUACCAGUAACUAGCACAGUAACCCAUAAUUAGUACAAUGACCAGUAAUUAGUACAAAUCUAUAGUUUUGCAUACCCGGUGCUUAAUUUGGAAAACAAAUGAAGAACGACAGUGUUGACACUAAAUAAUUAAGCUGAAUUACAAUAUAAACUUUAUAAGAUAUAAAUGAUCCACUUUUUGAAGUUUGUUUUUGCAUGCCAUGCCCGUUCAGAAGAUAAAUACUAUGCAGUUGCAAAAUUGGUUAUUGAUUUGUAGAACGGAUUGCUGUAUUCGUUUAGUAUUUGAACAUCCCACCUACAGGACUGAGUAUCGAACAACGAUGAUGUCUGUGUUUUCGACAAAUUCUUUAUAAAAAAUCAUAACGAGGCUUGUAUGAAUUGUGUUAUACGUACACAUUUGUACUACUGCGGUAAAUUGUAGGUCUAUCUAUGCCGCCGUAGUCGUGACGCUCUCUCACUAGUCAGAACAAUCCCUGUAGGAGUAAUUGUUACCGACUUAAAUCCCAUUUACCUUACAAGUUUUCACUUAUGUGUUUCAAACCUAUAAACUUAAACCCCGUAUUUCAUUUUAUUGUUUAUUUGGGGUUGGUUUUUUUGUUGGUUUUUUUUUUUUUGGUUCAUUCCAGAAUUUUUCAUCCAUAUUGCAACGUCACCAGCUGUAGGUGAAGUAUCACUUUAGACCUAUGCAUGACGUCCAAGACCGUAGCAACGAUCGAGGGUGUUUCUGCCGCGGCACGUGACCUCUGUUCUGAAAGACCCGCAACUUUCUUUUCGAAGUGCCGAGCGUUUGGCAAAGGAGCAGUCACCUACACUUUUUUUCUCUCGUUAGGUCGGACGAGGCCAAUAUUUAAGCGUAGCUCGAACCCACGACCUCCCGACCACAGAGCGAACGCUUUCAUCACUGAGCCACAGCAACCAGUCUCUUAAAUCUUUUGGUCAAAGGAACUUUAAAAUCAUAGAAGCCAGAUUAAAACAAGGGAUUCUAACCUGCAUGGAUAGGCUUAGUGCCCUUGGACCAGCCGACCACGUGGAUGUAAUCUUUGACGAAGAAUGGGUUGAUGGUACACUUGAAGACUGCAGUACUUCCCCGGACAGACCAUACGUCACUAAGGUGUAAAUUGUACGUUACGUAAUCUUCCACCAGAACUGAAACGGGAAACUUCAUCAUUACAAAUAGAUUAAUUGAUUAUAUGUUAUUUUACGCUGAUCUGAUUACAUUUCGGCCGUAUUUCGGAGACAAACUCCAAAGAAAAUGAUCAAACAAUGUACACAAAUAUGAUAUUUAAAGUGCGCUAAUUAUUGAACGGAUUGCACGAAACAGUUUACUCUACGCUUAAACGUGGGUAGUAGAUUUGAAGUCGGUAAACUAUUGGUUCGAGGAAAGAAUAGGGAAAUCUUAUAAGAGAAAUGGAAAAGACCCAUUGAAACAAGGAUCCAGAUUAUUACAAAACCUGGAGCGAUAUCUGAUGAUCAAGGAAAAGACAGUGCGUUGUCACUGCCAUCUGCAUCAACAGCCAUUUGAAAGAUAAAGCCAGAGGGCAUGAUUAAAGACAGAAGGUUCGAUCAUUUUUGAGAAAACACGAUAAGAAAUAAAUGUAACCUAUAUAUAGUUUAAUCACUUGUCGUGCUCGGGAGAUACUACUUUAGCGAAUAGUUGAAACAUUACAGUCCAAAUAGUAAUUGCAAUGAGCUAGCAUUAAUCGCUACAACCAUUUCAAAGUCAAUUCUCCGUGGUUCAAAUUGCAUAAUUGUAAUCUCUUAGUAUCUUAAAGGAUUUUUGUUACAGUGUAAAAAAAAAAAAAAGGUUUUGUCUUCGAACACGAAGCCGAAUUCUAUGAAUACACACAUUUAAACUCUUAUGUUGAAAAUACGGCGUUCUGUGAGGAGGUUAAAACAUUAAACUCAAACAUUUUACGAGUAGUUUUAAUCAGUAAUAUCCAUUAGGGUCCGCGUUCUGUACCAAGAAGUGAGAAACACAAUAAAACCGCGCGAUUAAAAGACUCCGUCACCGAAAGGCAGCGCGCUGUUCACCACGACAAUUCUUCCCAUCUCGUGAUGAACGCGGAUAAUCACAAUUUUCAGCCGCGGAUUAAUGUUACUUUAAAACUUAAAAAACUUUAGUUACUAAUGGCGUGAUGAAAUAAAAGAUGUUAUUUU